AGCGGCGGACGGGUGAGUAACGCGUGGGUAACCGUGCCUCAUGCAGGGGGAUAACAGUUGGAAACGGCUGCUAAUACCGCAUAAGCGCACAGUACCGCAUGGUACGGUGUGAAAAACUCCGGUGGUAUGAGAUGGACCCGCGUCUGAUUAGGUAGUUGGUGGGGUAACGGCCUACCAAGCCGACGAUCAGUAGCCGACCUGAGAGGGUGACCGGCCACAUUGGGACUGAGACACGGCCCAA
rnacentral:rRNA from 1 species